AUUUUUCAGAAGUAGAUCGUCAGACCUUUUUUGUUCCAAGGAGCCUCUGGGUGGACUCAAUCCUCUAACCUUUUGGUUAACAGCUGAGCACAUUAAUGGUUGGUAUCACCCAGGGCUCUAUGCCCUGUACUCAGUUCCCAAAUUAAGCAAUUUACCACCUUUGCAAUUUUUGGUAACAACAUCACAUUAAUAUAAUGAUUUACUCGAUUUGUUCUAUAGAUCAAUUUUUUAUUAACUCUAACCAUUUAUUUACCAUGACACUACAUUCAUACUCAGCCUCAUUCAACAUAUGAACCAUGGGCUUGGUACACAACUUAGAGUUUUUUUGAUGAAUAUACCCUAAAAUAAAUAACUCUUCACUUAAAAAAAAAAAAAAAAUUUUGUGACUCCAACUAAGUUUAUCUGGCAUGUCCCCAGGAUUAUUCUGUACCACUCUUUAGGGGUACGCUACCAUGGAAAACACUCCAUGUAUAACUGAAACACCACUUCUUCGCCCCCAAAUAACAGCAGCAGCCACAGCUAGCAAUUGACUUGUACUUCAUAUUGGACAUAGCAGUUCCUCUUCUAUCUUAGUUGAUCCUCCCAACCAUCCAGUGAAGCAGGAAGUAUUGGUUACAUUUUCCAGAUAAAGAAAUGAGGAGUCACAGAGGUUAAGUGACUUGCCCAAGUUUAUGCAGCUAAUAAAUGAAAGCAUCUUUCCACUGCAGACCUCAUUCUCUCUCCGAAUACGGCAGGCUUGCCUUAUAAACUCCGCCUCGCAAAGAACCAUGAGCAGGAAAGAGGAUACCUGGGUUGUCCAUACUAGUAGAUCCUGCAGGGUUUUGGAUGCCAAACCAAGACCCAUUGCCCUCUAGUCCAUUCGGACUCAUAGCAACCCUACAGGACAGAGCAGAACUGCCCUAUAGGGUUUCCCAUCUUCCUUCCACAAAGCAGCUGGUGGGUUCCAACCGUCAGCCUUUCUGUUAGCAGCCAAGUGCUGGACCACUGUACCACCAGGGCUCCUUGUUUAGGAUGCAGAGAACCCAAAAUGACUCUCUGCUCUAUUGGGGUUCAAGCUCCACAAGUCAGUCCCUUGCCACAAAAAUCCACAGCCUCAUCUCUUACUUGCAUGCUGUGAAAACACUCCAUAGAAAAUACUUCUUACAACACAGUGGUCUGGGUCAAUGGAGGCAUCAGGCCUGCUGGCCACAUGCUAGUUAUGAAUCUUUGGGAGUUCAGGGCCUCCGUUUUCUCUAUGCUAAAAUUGCAAUAUGAACAGCACCUACCUUUCAGUAUUUCUGAAAUGAUCAGAUUAGAUAAUGCAUUAAAGCCCUUGACACAGUGCCUGCCACAUAUAAUGUCACCUAUUAAUUAUAAUAUUAUCCACACCAUUAUGUUAGAAGGGAAAUACACAGAAAAGUGCCUCUUACCCUGCCAUUUGGUCACUUAAAAUAAUUCCCUUGGCCAAGAAGUGGAUGAACUAAGAAGUAAUUACUGAGGAUGCGCUGCGGGAACCCAGGGCUACAGUCAUUCAGCAACUUGGCCUCGGCCUCAACCCCAGGCAAAAAUUACUUUUAGGAGCUAAAUAACCUCUUAGCUGACCGAAAUUGCUCACUCUCGGGAGCCAGCGUUCUCCCUGCUUAGGAAAAGCUUAGGUAUUCCGUGGUUAUCUUUAUCCUGGGGCUGAACUUGAAGCUCGCUUAAAGUCACAGUCUAACCAUAAACCAAUUUGCUCUGCUUUCUUAAACUGCCUGCAAACAAAAUAUGAUCAGUUGGUUUUUUCAUUGUUGCUCUGCAGCAAAAUAAAAGCCCUUAAAGGCACCUGCAUAAGAAUUUAACACACAGUUUAAAAAGGAGUCAAAAUAUUUUUGUGCUCUGGAUAAAGCAGGUAGGUAACCAGGUUUAAGGGUUAGCUAUGAUAAAUAAUAAACACAAACAGCUAUUAUUCACUAGGAAAGAAGAAAACAAAGAAAAGGCACAUCUGAAACACCAGCAAGGCCAACAAAACAGGUAUCAGUCAUCAGCUCUCCUUCGUUUUUCAUUUGAAAGAAGCUCACUGUCAAGCUGAUUUCUUAAAGGAAUCUGUCAAGGCAACAUUUCUUAAGGGAGGCAGGAGAAAAAUGCUUUGUCACAUUGCCUAAAACACACACACAAACCAACACUAGUAUGCAAAAUGCUACAAGAAUGGGUGAAAUCAGACACCACUACCAGCAAGCCAGCAAGUCAUGUUGGAAUCAUCUCUGAAGGUCCUUCCUGUAGUAGAGAAGAAUGAGAUGCCAGGUUCAAAAACUGCUUUUCUGGGCCUACCAAGCACUGAGGCUUCCAGGAUCUCAGCUUUCCAGCAUCCACACUCGUCCUCAUUAAUGCCCAAGCAGAGCUGAGUCUUUUCCAUGACUUGCCCAUUUUUCUUAACCUGCUACGUUUGAUUCCAUUUUCACACACACACACACAAUUCAAGUCUUACAAAGCCAAUCAAGUGCUAGGCAGGUAGUCAGAUACCUUAGGCCAAGUUUCCUAAGCCCACAAACUUCAAGAAUAUCUCAACUAGGAUUCAAUUUUAGGAAACUCAAUUUACAGCUACAGCUCUGGGAAACACACAGUGAGGUAGCGCUAUGUCCAUGGUUAGAAGUAAGAGCAAAACGAAAACAUGAGGUUUUCAAAUACUGUAGCAUCAUGAAAAUACCAGACAUAGCCAGAAGACCCAGGUUCCGGUGCCAGCUCCUCUCUAUUUCAUGAGACAACCUCAGCCUGAUCACUGUCUUCUCUGGACCGCAGUACCUUCAUUUAAAGAAAUGAGAGGUUUCAACUACCUUGAACGGUGAACUCAACAAUGCUCUGAUUCCCUGAAAUAGCCAAUUAUCAAACAGAAGUACCAAACGUGAAUUUGGAAGAUGAUUUUUCAGAAAGCCUUUUAGAUUUCCUAUUUUAUAAUAUAUCCAAAACUGAGAAAUUUAAGAGACUCUUCUUGAGUUUCUAAAAAACAAACUCUAGAGGAAGGAACUAUCUGAAUAUGGGACAAGUACAGAGUGGCAACAUGUUAAUGUAAUACAAGGAAGGGUUAGGCAAGAAAUAAAUUUACCCAAGAAACUUUUUGCUGAUUCAAAGCACACCAAGCAAUCACCAUGUCUGAGGGGAAAAAAGAAGAAGAAGAAAAAAAUAUAUAUAUACACACAUAUACAUAUGCAUAUACAGAAGCUCUGCUGGUACAGUGGUUAAGAGUUUGCCUGCUAACCAAAACGUCAGCAGUUCAAAUCCACCAGGCACUCCUUGGAAACCCCAUGGGGCAGUUCUAGUCUGUUCUAUAGGGUCACUGCAUCAGAAUCCACUCAACGGCAACAGGAACAGGCUAACCCGUUGCUGUCAAGUCGAUUCCAACUCAUAGCAAACCUACAGGACUGAGAAGAACUGCCACAUAGAGUUUCCAAGGAGUAGCUGGUGGAUUCAUACUGCCGA